rnacentral:ncRNA from 1 species
GUUAUUAAAGCCAAAUUCGUCGUGAGGCGGAGACGGAAAACCACGGAUCUCAGAAGAGAUAGCCGGGUUACCGAUU